rnacentral:pre_miRNA from 1 species
UAUUCUCCGUUUGUUAAAACUAGUCCCUACACUUUUAUUUUUUUGAACAAUUUAAUUUUUUCGAGUGAGAUAAGCUUGUGGACUAGUUUUAACAAAUGAAAAAUA